GAUGAACGCAAGCGGGAGGCUUAAUACAUGCAAGUCGAGGGGUAACAUGAGAGCUUGCUCUUGAUGACGACCGGCGCACGGGUGAGUAACGCGUACACAACCUACCUCUAAGUGGGGAAUAGCCUUUGGAAACGAAGAGUAAUACCCCAUAGCAUUAUUUCUUUUUAUGAUGAAAUAAUUAAAGCUCCGGCGCUUAGAGAUGGGUGUGCGUCCCAUUAGCUUGUUGGUAAGGUACGGCUUACCAAGGCGACGAUGGGUAGGGGGCGUGAGAGCGUGACCCCCCANACGGGUACUGAGACACGGACCCGACUCCUACGGGAGGCAGCAGUAAGGAUAUUGGACAAUGGGCGAAAGCCUGAUCCAGCCA
rnacentral:rRNA from 1 species